UAGAGUUUGAUCCUGGCUCAGGAUGAACGCUAGCUACAGGCUUAACACAUGCAAGUCGUGGGGCAGCAUGGGGGUUGCUUGCAAUCCCUGAUGGCGACCGGCGCACGGGUGAGUAACGCGUAUCCAACCUACCCCAUACUCGGCAAUAGCCCGCUGAAAGGCGGAUUAAUGGCCGAUGCAGUCCAUGGAUGGCAUCAGAAUUGGACGAAAGCCCUCGGGCGGUAUGGUGAUGGGGAUGCGUCUGAUUAGGCAGUUGGCGGGGUAACGGCCCACCAAACCGACGAUCAGUAGGGGUUCUGAGAGGAAGGUCCCCCACAUUGGAACUGAGACACGGUCCAAACUCCUACGGGAGGCAGCAGUGAGGAAUAUUGGUCAAUGGGCGUAAGCCUGAACCAGCCAAGUAGCGUGCAGGAUGACGGCCCUAUGGGUUGUAAACUGCUUUUAUGCGGGGAUAAAGUGCGGGACGUGUCCCGCUUUGCAGGUACCGCAUGAAUAAGGACCGGCUAAUUCCGUGCCAGCAGCCGCGGUAAUACGGAAGGUCCGGGCGUUAUCCGGAUUUAUUGGGUUUAAAGGGAGCGUAGGCCGUGUAUUAAGUGUGUUGUGAAAUGUAGAUGCUCAACAUCUGAACUGCAGCGCAUACUGGUGCACUUGAGUACGCACAACGUAGGCGGAAUUCGUCGUGUAGCGGUGAAAUGCUUAGAUAUGACGAAGAACUCCGAUUGCGAAGGCAGCUUACGGGAGCGCAACUGACGCUGAUGCUCGAAGGUGCGGGUAUCGCACAAGAUUAGAUACCCUGGUAGUCC
rnacentral:rRNA from 1 species